GUAUCAACCGAGCNACUCGCGAUAUGCUCUAGAUUAAACGUUGGAUCAUGGUCUCAGACUGAGACGCUAGGUCUGUGCACAGCUCAACACAUGCAAGUCGAGCGGGGAAGUGUUGCUUCGGUAACUGACCUAGCGGCGGACGGGUGAGUAAUGCUUAGGAAUCUGCCAUUUAGUGGGGGACAACAUUCCGAAAGGAAUGCUAAUACCGCAUACGUCCUACGGGAGAAAGCAGGGGAUCUUCGGACCUUGCGCUAAAUGAUGAGCCUAAGUCGGAUUAGCUAGUUGGUGGGGUAAAGGCCUACCAAGGCGACGAUCUGUAGCGGGUCUGAGAGGAUGAUCCGCCACACUGGGACUGAGACACGGCCCAGACUCCUACGGGAGUGCAGCAGUGGGGAAUAUUGGACAAUGGGCGGAAGCCUGAUCCAGCCAUGCCGCGUGUGUGAAGAAGUGCCUUAUGGUUGUAAAGCACUUUAAGCGAGGAGGAGGCUACCAGUAUUAAUACUACUGGAUAGUGGACGUUACUCGCAGAAUAAGCACCGGCUAACUCUGUGCCAGCAGCCGCGGUAAUACAGAGGGUGCGAGCGUUAAUCGGAUUUACUGGGCGUAAAAGCGUGCGUAGCGGNUUUUUAAGUCGGAUGUGAAAAUUCCCGAGCUUAACUUGGGAAUUGCNUUCGAUUACUGGGGAAGCCUAAGUUUUGGGGAGCACGGGUUGGGUUGACAAUUUCCCCGUGUUUCCGGGGNAAAAUGNUUUAGUCUGGGGGGACCAUCCCACNUGGGNGAAGGCGGGCCCCUUUGGCCUAUAUGACCCUUAGGUGAGUUNGUGNCCUCACUCCNUCUUUUNUCCUCUNUUCCCUUGGAGAUANUAUCUAUAUAUAGCUCNNCCGGCGAGUAGUUGUCGUGCUGAGAAACUNUNGGNNGCGGCCUAUCACCAUUUCGGNCGGCGGCGGUUUAAUGGCCCGCUCUU
rnacentral:rRNA from 1 species